rnacentral:rRNA from 1 species
GACGAACGCUGGCGGCGUGCCUAAUACAUGCAAGUAGAACGCUGAAGAGAGGAGCUUGCUCUUCUUGGAUGAGUUGCGAACGGGUGAGUAACGCGUAGGUAACCUGCCUGGUAGCGGGGGAUAACUAUUGGAAACGAUAGCUAAUACCGCAUAAAAUGGAUUAUCGCAUGAUAAUCCAUUGAAAGGUGCAAAUGCAUCACUACCAGAUGGACCUGCGUUGUAUUAGCUAGUUGGUGGGGUAACGGCUCACCAAGGCGACGAUACAUAGCCGACCUGAGAGGGUGAGCGGCCACACUGGGACGGAGACACGGCCCAGACUCCGACGGGAGGCAGCAGUAGGGAAUCUUCGGCAAUGGACGGAAGUCUGACCGAGCAACGCCGCGUGAGUGAAGAAGGUUUUCGGAUCGUAAAGCUCUGUUGUAAGAGAAGAACGAGUGUGACAGUGGAAAGUUCACACUGUGACGGUAUCUUACCAGAAAGGGACGGCUAACUACGUG